CGGUAGAUUCUUAAUACAAAAAUCAUUCACGCACUCAUGAAAUUAUUUCGUGGUUUGGUAGCGUUAUCAACAAGUAUAAAUGUACACGAACGACAGUUUUUCCUAAAAUACUUAUAACGUGACAAAUUAUAGAGGGUAGAUCUAUCGUCAUUUCGGACGACUACAAUCUCAAGUUGUCAAUCAGAAGAAAUUAUUAUUUCAUAUUCCUGGAAAUGAACACAAGACUUCGCUGCUUUAAAAACUGAAUAUAUCACCUAUAUAAGCCGAUAAUAAGAAUGGAAUUUGUCCGAUAUGGCUCGGAUCACAUCACACUAUGGGACGGAAUGCAGGGCAGAUAAGUGGAGGCACCAGUUGCGUCUCUACCCACCCUUUCGGGAAUAAAGGUGUGAGUGUGUAUGUCUGUAAUUAGAAUCAAACAAGGCUACCGUCACUCACGAUUACAAAGGAUAAAUUACAAGCAAAAACUUAUAAUGAAAGAGCGCCGAAAGGGAUGAAUUAGGGAAGGAAACAAGACAAGCCUGCAGCAGAAGUUUAAUCAGACCGGGACAGAGCAAGUUUUAUUGGAAAAAAUCCCGGGAUGCCGGCAAGGCACUGGGAUUUCGAUCCCGCGCUGUGUCACCCGGAGAAAACCGAUUUGUUAAACAUGAAACUUUGGAGACGCUCGUUUUGAUUUCGCUAGGUUUUAUUUUACUUUUAGAAUCCGUCCGCUUAGUUUAUCUUAGU